CUGGACCGGAGCCCUGCGGGCACUCGGCGCGCGGCGCAUCAUUACCUGGCCAGUGUAGUUUUCCCCGAGCCCGGGAGGCCUCGCAGGAGAGGGUGUCCCAGGCAGCAUGGAUGGGGCAGCAGGAGGACACACAGCUUUGGGGACUAGAAGUUUGGGCACACUGAGACUGCAGUGUCGCUGGCAGCUGGAGCACUGAAGGAGGUGCUGGGAAAUGUGAGUGUGCUGUGAGAAGAGAGGUCUUGAGCUGGAGGCAAGCGCUUUGGAAAUUCCUGCCCUGUACGAAGACGGAGAAUAGAGCAGACAGCUGAAGUCGGGGCUUCGGGAUCACACUUAAGGUCUGUGCACCACCCCCCCAAAGUGGAUCUGUUGAAAGAAAGUACAAGGGACAGACAGAACUCUAAGAGAGUGUGUAAAGCCCAGGGAGGGAGAGCUGGAGGAGGAGAAAAUGUCUGGCAGUAUCUGAAAGUGACCCUAGACACUUCUCCUUUCUCUUAGCUCUCAGAUUUAACUGGUCAAUAGGCUCUGUUUUCCCCAAUUUAUUUCUCAGAACCACAGUUUGUUUAAAGCUGUUUGUGUAUCUGUUUCUUACCACUAGACUAAGUUCAAAGGCAAAGACAGUGUCACCCUUGUCACCCCAAGAGCUAACACAGCGUCUGACAUUCAGAGGUGCUCAAUAAUUGUAUAUGGACCUGAACUGCCUUCCCAGUAAAUGAGUCUGAGGGUGGGCUUUACUAAAGAUUAAGACUGAACAAAGAUAGAGACGACUUCAAUUGAGGAGUAAUGUAAACACAGUCAGUGACCACAUCAGCAGUUCUGAGGGCCACAGUACUCUCAGAUAACGUCUACGGUCAGAUCCUCACUGGCCCUAACGAGGUGGCAGCCUCCAGAGAGGAGGGCUACCCUGGGUCAGAGGAUCCCUGCGAUUAACACUCCUUCAUGCCCUCAGUUCAUCCAACCAGGUUUUUCAGCUCUAAAGUUCUAUUCCAUUUCUCUAGAAUGUGAUGACCAGCACAAUCUCACUUUGCUGUCCUACAAACCAUUACUAUGAUGAGGUAAAGAAAAUAAUCUUAGAAGUAGUUUUUGGCAAGCAAAGAAACAUUCAAAUCUUUCUCUAAUUAUUACUGUUUAACAAGAUGUGGAAAAACAAGGGGGUACACAGGAAGAGCUCAUGGAAACCGGAAAUUUAACCCUUGAACCUACAGUUCCAAAUACUCCACAAUUUGGAAUGCUUAAAUCAGCCCCAAGUUUCUCCCCUGCAGAUGCCAUAUAGCAGAAAGUCUGAAACCAAGAUGAAGCUUCCAAAGCAGUGUAAGCAAAGACCCUGUAACAGAGUAGAACCAUUUAAAAUACAGAGGUAGUAGCUUCUCAAUUCUCAUUCUAUGUCCUUUCUUCCCCUACCAAAAGCUUUUAUCUGAUUUCCCUACCAAAAGUUUUGAUAGAUUUUUUUACUCAAAAAAAGUCUUAUAUAAAUUUUUACCUUGUUACAUAUAUAUAUAUGACAUGAACUGAAAGAAUAGGGAAGCAUCCAUCUGUUCCUGUUUAGCUGUUUCUCUGGGGGACCCCUCGUUGCUCUAGCACCUCCAGCUUUCACCUUCCACCAGUCUGCACUGCACUAUUUGGCCAUUCAGAGGUAGCGCCUCUCUACUUAAAACUCCUUCCUCCUGGCUCUUCCCUCGUCCUUCCCCUAGAAGCUGGAUGAAGGAUACAGGAAGCUGGAAGAGGUUAGGGAAGGGGGACAAUGGGAGGGCAGUCAUGCAGAGUGUCUGCUGGGCUGAAUCAAUAAGGGAAAUGCUCAGGACUUGGUGGCCUGGGAUAACUCUGCCAACACAGAAAUGUCCUCUGGAUAAAAGUGACUUUGCUCAUUCUAACAUCACAUUACCUCUGCCUCCUACAUUCCAUCCCUCUCUCUAUUUGAGAUCAUACUCCUCUCCCUAGGCAAUAACAAUAAUCUGUUUCUGCAGCACCAAGUAUUUGCCACUGUGCAUAGGGACACUUGAGGAGUAUAAGCUUUGAAGAGGAAGUCUGGGAGGUGGGGAAAGUAGUCCCAGCCCAUUUUUCUAAAGCUCCAUUCUGGAAAUUAGGGCAAGGUAAUAAAGGCAGUGGCUGGAGAAAGCUGGGGGCAUCCUGGACCCUAAGUACAAGCCUGGGUGGAUAGUUAGCAGAUACGCUUCAAUACAGCACAGAGUCUCAGAAUUGGUCAUUAGCCAUGCCACACUCACUGUUAAAUAUUUAUACUGUUACCCUUAUGCACGGCCAUGGUGGCAUAUUCAUUAGAAACCCAUAAAUGUUGCUACUGAAGGGCCUAAGAAAGCAAAGAUUUGCCAGAUGCCAGAGUCUCCUCUGCAGCCAUCUAUGUUUCAACCCUAAUACUGAUUAUCUCUUGUCUGAAAUCAUCCCAUCCUAGGCCAAAGGUGAGUCCAGUUUCACAACAGCACUAGGAGCCUGCACAAAGAGCAAGAUCUCAGGGAGUUCAACCAAACACUGGAGACCUUGGUCUCUGUCUGGAUCAGACUUAUGGUCUAGCAGAAAGAUAAACUGAAACUGUACAAAAUGAACUAGGGAAAAUGUUGAGCUAUUUUAAAUAAAACACUCAAUUCCCAGUCAAGCAGAUGGAAUACAAAUAGUUAGCUUCCAGUCUCUCAUUGAAACCCCAGGAGAAUAUAGAGGCUUUUUUUUGGCCGGGGGGUGGGGCGGAAGGGAGUGUUAGGAGAAUGGGGGAUAUGAGUAUUAUUUUUAAGUAUUAAUAUAAACUGUAAGAAAAAAGGUCACAGCAACAAAAUAAUUAAAAACUGGAAAGCAAAAGGCCUAGUGUUAACUAAUUUGGAAAAACAAUUAAGAAACAAAACUUGAAUUAUAGAAAGUCAAGAAGAAAUACCAUUUACUCUGCAUAACACCUAAAAUUUCAGGAACUGGAAAAUUCAGGGCUGGAGGUGGGGCUCUAAACAGGAAAGUUAGUUAAAAGUCUGUUUAAGAAACAGACAUCCACACAGUCGGGCAGCCCUCUAGAGAAGUCUGGAGGUUUAUUCCCUGGAGAAGAUAAAACAGGAUGAGAAGAGUAGAAGGUAAGAUAAGGCAGGCAAUGCUCUCUUUCCGAAAACAGAGGGAUUACAUAAAUGCCUACAUGUUGAAUAAUGAGACAUCACACCUUGUUUUUCAAAUAUGAAUUUUCAUAUUUGAAAUCUGUUAAGUACAAUUAAACUGAAAUAAUAGCAAUAAUAAAAAUAAUAGUUACUGUAGCAUAGUGUAAGUCCCACAAUCCCUAACCAAAAUCCUUGAGGUCAGAAUUGUUUCAGAAUUCAGAAAGUUUUUAGUGGGGUCUAGGGCACCCCUGGUAAUUAAACACAUUAAUAUUUCUCCAGUGAAAUGUCUGAAAAGUCAUACUACCUGGGGGAAAUAAGGAGUAAAACUAACUUGACUGUUUAGGUCAAAUUUUGCUGCCAACUUAAUUUUAAUGCCAGACAUUUAAGAAACAAAACAACUUUUGGUUUUCAGAGCUUUCUGGAUUUGAAAUUCUAGAAAUGGAAUCAUGGACCCACAUUUGGAUAAAGGGGCCUAUCCUUCUAUUCUGAUGCAAUUUUAAAAAUAAUCUACUCAAGUUUCCUGGGUCUUAUUUUCUUCGUGAAAUAAAAUAGGGCAAAUAUCUUCAAAAUUAGAUAAUAAAUUAUUGAAGUUAUUACCUCUUUUGCUGAGUUUUUUAUUAGUAUUCAGGAAACUGAUCAGAAUAGUUGAACAGAUUAUUCAAACCAAUUUCAGUCCAAUGACUUAUAACACUCUACAUUAUCCUUCGGGUUGGCACCGAGCUCUCUUUCUUGAUGAUCAGGAUCUUCAACAGUACCUGGAAGAUGGAGAAUUCAACUGCAAACAAACACAAGCCCAGACAAGUCCAGACAGAAUGGUGACAGAAAUGGAGUUUGUCAUCAGUUUCCCAAGCUCAUGACUAUUUAUGCGCCCCGCCCAACCCGGCAUCCAGAAUUUCACAGUCCCACAGUGCCCACACCCUGCCUGGUCUCGCUUCAUUCAAGAGCCUGUCCUCUGGAUUUUGCCCAACCUUCUGUUUCUAAAUCAAAGCCUGGUCUAUGUCCCAUUCCCUGAUGAUCCAGCUUUUUUACACUGUAAAGUUAAAAAUAAAUACACUUAAUUCAUGCAAAUGUGUUAACAAGUUUAUUAAGUCAGUACGUUGCUCUGCCAGGAGCAUUUCAAAUCAAAGCUGCAACCAACAAAGAUACUCAGGGGAAGGGAAUUAACCCUUACUAAGAGCUUAUUAUUUUUCAAAAACUUUGCACAAGUUAUUUCAUUUAAUCCUCAUUUAAUAUCCCCAUGACAGAUUAGUAUCAUAAACCUGUUUUUUUUUUUUUUUUUUUUUCAGGUGAAAAAAUUGCAGCUUUGAGAAGGCAAUUUGUUUAAGGUCACAUAGCGGAUCGGCAGGAGCUUCAAGAUGGGAACCCAUCCUCUUUCCAGCAGGCUGCCCUACCUCCUUAAAGGAGUGAGGCAGUAUAAACACUCUGGCCACCAGCAGGCAGAGGAUUUGAGGCUCCAAGAGCCAACCACAUUCUCUAGCUAUUUCCUUCUUUUUAAUUUCUGUUUACCACUUGAGGCCCACUGAUCAUUAUGCCAAAGACAAAACCAAAAGGCCCAUUCUCAUUACAAUUAUAAAAAUGCUGUACAUAGCUACAGCACUCAUAAAAUUUCCCAACAAGAGAAGACUAAUAAUUAGGGAUGCCUGCUCUAUGAGGUUCACAGAGGGCAGUCAGUUUAGCAUGAAUGUAAAAGAUGAACACAAAAAUCAAAAGUAUGGUUCAUAAAGUGUCCUUGACACAAAAUCAGCAGAUAGAAAAGACCCACCAAAUUAGCCACUGGCAAAUAUGCCCAUGCUUAUUGUGUGCUGUUUAUCCUGGUGUCACAUUGAGGGGAAAGGUAAACACUCUCUUCCUAACUUCAAUCCUCACAUAAACUCCAUGAGGCCAGUUUUCACUGCUACAUCCUCAGUGUGUAGAAAAAUGUCUAAACUGAGGCAACUCAAUAAACACUUGCUGAACAACUGAA